UUAAAAGUUGCCCUCACCUCCUCAUGUUUUCUGUAGGAAUAAUGAAUGGAGACUGCUUGUGUGUAAUACUGAGGUGUCUAAAUUUCAUUGACUUCCUCGAAUUUGAAAAGGUUUACAUGUUGCAAAGAAUGCUAUAGAAUCAAGUGUGUGCUUGAGCAAAGUCAACAGUACUGUUUGCAGUUGCAGGCACAGGAUGUACAGAUUGAGACCAUGGCCAGAGUAGACCUCCUGGGGGGCCCUGUUAACUUCCCUGUCUGUCCUGUCCUCUGUGCAUUAUGUGCACUAGUCAAAUGCAAACAUUAUAUACACAUGAUGCAUCAUGUAAGCACAAUAACAAUAAAUUAAAAUUAGUUCUUGACACA